rnacentral:rRNA from 1 species
GACGAACGCUGGCGGCGUGCCUAAUACAUGCAAGUUGAGCGCUGAAGGUUGGUACUUGUACCAACUGGAUGAGCAGCGAACGGGUGAGUAACGCGUGGGGAAUCUGCCUUUGAGCGGGGGACAACAUUUGGAAACGAAUGCUAAUACCGCAUAAAAACUUUAAACACAAGUUUUAAGUUUGAAAGAUGCAAUUGCAUCACUCAAAGAUGAUCCCGCGUUGUAUUAGCUAGUUGGUGAGGUAAAGGCUCACCAAGGCGAUGAUACAUAGCCGACCUGAGAGGGUGAUCGGCCACAUUGGGACUGAGACACGGCCCAAACUCCUACGGGAGGCAGCAGUAGGGAAUCUUCGGCAAUGGACGAAAGUCUGACCGAGCAACGCCGCGUGAGUGAAGGAGGUUUUCGGAUCGUAAAACUCUGUUGGUAGAGAAGAACGUUGGUGAGAGUGGAAAGCUCAUCAAGUGACGGUAACUACACAGAAAGGGACGGCUAACUACGUG